rnacentral:rRNA from 1 species
UACGUAGGGGGCUAGCGUUGUCCGGAAUUACUGGGCGUAAAGCGUGCGCAGGCGGUUGUGUAAGACAGAUGUGAAAGCCCCCGGCUCAACUGGGGAGGGUCACGCGAUACUGAUCGACUCGAAGGCAGGAGAGGGUAGUGGAAUUCCCGGUGUAGUGGUGAAAUGCGUAGAUAUCGGGAGGAACACCAGUGGCGAAGGCGACUACCUGGCCUGUUCUUGACGCUGAGGCGCGAAAGCUAGGGGAGCAAACGGGG